ACCAAGUUUGGUUUUUGUUGCAAUUACAGAAAUUUUGAGAUGUGUUAUAGAUCUUGGUGUCUCAUAAACACUUGAAUGUGUUCCAGACUUCUCUGUUAAAUUUACCAGAAGUCUGCCUUUCCCCCUGGCUGAGCUAAUUGGUCAGUAAGACAUGCUACCAAAGCAGUGCAGGACACAAUGUUUAGACCUGCUUUUCUGUCUUUAGAUUGGACUGGUUUAGAUGAAGAUGAAGAUGCACAUGUCUGGGAAGACAACUGGGAUGAUGACAAUGUAGAAGAUGAUUUCUCCAAUCAGUUAAGAGCUGAAUUAGAAAAACAUGGAUACAAGAUGGAAACGUCAUAGCUUUUGCAGAAUAUGGAGUGGUUUAACACUGAACUGUGGAUAGACUUUAUUGAGAAAAGAAGAUGGAAAAUGAGAAAACACACUUAGUUCAUUAUCUGCUUGGAUUUAUUAUUGUUUUGUAUAAAAAAUAAAGUUUUUAAUCUUAGCCUGGUCAUACAUUUAGCCUCUACUCACCUGGUCCGUUGUAUUUUGGUUCUGAAGUGUCUUGUGUGGCGGAAUUCACGGACCUGCCUGGAAUGCCACUAGUGGUCUGUCAGUAGCUGAUGCUCUUGCACUGGCUGCUGUCCUGGGGGGCUAAACAUGUGUAACCAGAAUGAAGACUAAUGAAUAUUGCUGUCACAGGAAAUAAAAUACUUGUGUAUUCCAAUUAAAAUGCAGCAGAGAUUGAAAGCAGUAUUAGGGAGUGAUAAAACUUGUUUUGCCUCAGUAUUUUAUUUCAUAAUGACUUGGCGUUUUUUUUUUAGUAAUUUCAUGUGAGUGCUGGUUUAAUAAAACAGAGUUCAAAGUGUCUUGCAACAGCAGAAAUCCAAACUCUCCAAUCUUGUCCUGUCAUUUCUCAGGACUGUUAAAGAUGAGACUUCUCUGGAGGUGAAAGUUCUGUUCUUGCACUUACUUAAGCCUAGGAAUCUCUGCUGAAAUUGCCUCCAAUUUGCCAGUUACAGCAGUUCAUCUGUAUCACGCAAACAUGCCUGUGGAGAACAGAAAUCAAACUUCCAACUCAUUUCAUGGAGGCUAGCAAAGAUUUGCCAGAAAGAUAGCGCGGUAGUGACUGGAUUCAAUUACUCUCUGAACUGGAAAACAGAAAGUGGGAAUUACCACACCUAUUACCACUUCCAUGAACGCUCCCCAAAG